CGCCGCAAACAUGUUAAGGAUAGAAUGAAGAAAUCCUCAUAACAAGGGAAGUCAGAGCCUUUAUGAUGCCGUGAAAGCGGUUCUACUCUUGGACCGAAAGGCUUGGGUUCAAUGCUCAUCUGCUAAGUUGUGUAGUAACAUCUCUGAACAGCUUCAUUAGAAAGACAGAGGAAGUCAGGAUAUGCAUACAAUAUGUUACAGAUCCGUCGGAAGCCAGAAGAGUUUAAACACCAGCAGAAGAAUCACUUCCUGGAUGUCUCAAGUGGAGGGAUGAAACUGACAGGACUGUUAUCUCAUCCUUCAGCUUCUUGGUCUGCUUUUCAAGCUCCUGACUUUUAAGGUUUGGGAUCGCGUUCGAGAUUGGAUAUCAACUCUAAGAAGGAAGCUUCUUACCUCAAAGAACUGUCAGUGACUGGUCAAUUUAGACGUUGUUCCCAAUGAUCCUGCCUGACUACGCCAGGUUGUGAGAUAGUGUUCAAAUACCGACAAGAAUCGGUGAGUGGAGAAAACACCCUCUGUUAUUCAGUAGCACAGCACAAGUUCGGGGCGGCAAUAAAAUCCAGAAAUACAGUUCUUACAAGAGCCCCUUUA